AUUGAACGCUGGCGGCAUGCCUUACACAUGCAAGUCGAACGGCAGCACGGGUGCUUGCACCUGGUGGCGAGUGGCGAACGGGUGAGUAAUACAUCGGAACGUACCAUAUCGUGGGGGAUAACGCAGCGAAAGCUGCGCUAAUACCGCAUACGCCCUGAGGGGGAAAGCGGGGGAUCGAAAGACCUCGCGCGACUAGAGCGGCCGAUGCCUGAUUAGCUUGUUGGUGGGGUAAAAGCCCACCAAGGCGACGAUCAGUAGCUGGUCUGAGAGGACGAUCAGCCACACUGGGACUGAGACACGGCCCAGACUCCUACGGGAGGCAGCAGUGGGGAAUUUUGGACAAUGGGGGCAACCCUGAUCCAGCAAUGCCGCGUGAGUGAAGAAGGCCUUCGGGUUGUAAAGCUCUUUUGUCAGGGAAGAAACACCGGCUCUAACACAGUCCGGGAAUGACGGUACCUGAAGAAUAAGCACCGGCUAACUACGUGCCAGCAGCCGCCGUAA
rnacentral:rRNA from 1 species